UACGUAGGUGGCAAGCGAUACUCGGAAUCACUAGGCGUAAAGCGCAGGUAGGCGGUGCGAUAAGUCUCUUGUGAAAGCUCCCGGCUUAACUGGGAGAGGUCAAGGGAAAUUGUCGUGCUCGAGUAUGGCAGAGGAAACUAGAAUUCCCGGUGUAGCGGUGAAAUGCGUAGAGUAUCGGGAGGAACACCGGUGGCGAAGGCGGUUCUCUGGGCCUGUACUGGACGGCUGAGGAGCGAAAGCGUGGGGAGCGAACAGG
rnacentral:rRNA from 1 species